AUCUACGGCCUUAUCACCCUGAAUGUGCCCGACCUUGGAAGCUAACCAGAGCCAGGACUGGUAAGUACUUGGAUGGGAGAAUACACAGCUAGUAAGGGUCAAGAUU
rnacentral:rRNA from 1 species